rnacentral:rRNA from 1 species
AUUGAACGCUGGCGGCAGGCUUAACACAUGCAAGUCGAACGAGUGGCGGACGGGUGAGUAAUGCUUGGGAAUCUAGCUAAUGUAGGGGGCUCACGACGGGAAACUGUAGCUAAUACCGCUUAACGUAGGAUGAGCCCACGUGGUAUGAGGUAGUUGGGGAGGUAAAGGCUCACCACGCCGACUAUCUCUAGCUGGUCUGAGAGGAUGACCAGCCACACUGGGACUGAGACACGGCCCAGACUCCUACGGGAGGCAGCAGUGGGGAAUAGUGCGCAAUGGGGGUAACUUGACCCAGCAAUGCCGCGGGAAUGAAGAAGGCUCUCGGGUUGUAAAGUCCUUUCAGUAGGGAGGCGUUAUCUAACCAGAAAGCACCGGCUAACUACGUGCCAGCAGCCGCGGUAAUAC